UCGUUCUCACUAAAGGAUCCUCGUUCAGCAAGUCUGGGGUCAGCUUCCUGAACCUGCAUCUGUAAUUUGUAUUUCAGGUGAUUGUUGGGCAGGUGAUCUGCAUCUGCAACUUGGAAAAACAUUUCUUGGAAUGUUUACUGCUUUGUCCCUGCUCAGAAGAUUCAAACCGCUGGUAACCAGAUCUCAAACGGCCAGUAAAUAAUCUCUCGUUUUUCUUUCUUUCUUUCUUCUCCUCUACUCUGUCUCUCCUGCCCUUUGCUCUUUGAUGUGUGCGAGGGGAUAGGAGGGUAAUCAGGCACUGAGAAACCACAAUUACGGAGGGUCGUUUUUCACUUAUUAUUUCUUCUGAUGCUUUUACUUUUUGACUUUGCAUGAUUAAGGAAAGGGGAGGGGAAAAGGUUGGUGAAAGGGUCAGUCUAUUGUGUUGCUUCUGGAUUCUGUGUAUUUACUCUUCCUAAGUCUGUGUACAUUCUGAAUCACUUGACAUGCUGCACAUUCUUCUAUAAAAUCUAGCUUGGAGCAGCAGUCUUUGGACACUGUGGAGGUACACUGAGUAAUUCUAGGAUUUGAAUAGUUAAAAAAAAAAGCUGAGAGGUUUUUUUUUUUUUAAACAACCUGAUGUCUUUGAGAACAUACUUUCCUUAAUUAGCAGUGACUAAUUCUAUAGUUUUUCUUUUAAAUGAACU
rnacentral:lncRNA from 1 species